rnacentral:rRNA from 1 species
AGGCUCCUACGGGGGGCAGCAGUGAGGAAUAUUGGUCAAUGGGCGGGAGCCUGAACCAGCCAAGCCGCGUGAGGGAAGAAGGUACAGCGUAUCGUAAACCUCUUUUGUCAGGGAACAAAGGCGGGGACUAGUCCCCGGAUGAGGGUACCUGAAGAAAAAGCAUCAGCUAACUCCGUGCCAGCAGCCGCGGUAAUACGGAGGAUGCGAGCGUUAUCCGGAUUUAUUGGGUUUAAAGGGGGAGCAGGAGGCCUGUUAAGUCAGCGGUA